rnacentral:rRNA from 1 species
UACGUAGGCAGCAAGCGUUGUUCGGAGUUACUGGGCGUAAAGAGUGCGUAGGCGGUUUCGUAAGUUUGGUGUGAAAUCUCCCGGCUUAACUGGGAGGGUGCGCCGAAAACUGCGGGGCUGGAGUGUGGGAGAGGUAAGCGGAAUUCCUGGUGUAGCGGUGAAAUGCGUAGAUAUUCGGAGGAACACCAGAAGCGAAGGCGGCUCACUGGCCCGAUACUGACGCUGAGGCGCGAAAGCGUGGGGAGCAAACAGG